UUAAGCUAAUAAGAGCGCAGGGAGGAUGCCUUGGCAUCAGGAGCCGAAGAAGGACGUGGUAAGCUGCGAAAAGCUACGGGGAUUGGCAAGCACGAUAUGAUCCGUAGAUGUCCGAAUGGAGCAAUCCACAUGGAGUCAAGUCCAUGUAUCAUAUACUGAAUAAAUAGGUAUAUGAGGGGAACCGCCCGAACUGAAACAUCUAAGUAGGGCGAGGAAAAGAAAUCAACCGAGAUUCUGUGAGUAGUGGCGAGCGAAAGCGGAAGAGGCUAAACCGAGAGGAGCAAUCCUUUCGGGGUUUAGGACUGCAUUUAGUACAGCAAUUGUUAACCGAACAGCAUGGGAAGGCUGAUCAAAGAAGGUGAGAAUCCUGUAGGUGAAAACGAAAGUUGACGAGCAGUAUCCAAAGUACCGCGGGGCACGUGAAAUCCCGUGGGAAGAUGGGGGGACCAUCCUCCAAGCCUAAAUACUACCUGAUGACCGAUAGCGAAAAGUACUGUGAAGGAAAGGUGAAAAGCACCCCGGGAGGGGAGUGAAAGAGAACCUGAAACCCUGUGCUUACAAGCACUUAGAGCACGUCAAAGUGUGAUAAGGUACCUAUUGUAGAAUGGUCCGGCGAGUUAUUGUAUGCAGCGAGGUUAAGUAGUUCAGCUACGGAGCCGAAGUGAGAGCGAGUGUUAACAGCACGUUCAGUUGCAUGCAAUAGACCCGAAACCGGGUGACCUAUCCAUGUCCAGGAUGAAGUGAGGGUAAAACCUCAUGGAGGUCCGAACCCACUCCCGUUGAAAUGGUAGGGGAUGAGGUGUGGAUAGCGGAGAAAUUCCAAUCGAACCCGGAUAUAGCUGGUUCUCCCCGAAAUAGUUUUAGGACUAGCCUCGUGAUCAAGAUUAUCGGAGGUAAAGCACUGAAUGGCCUAGGGGUCGAGAGAUUACCGAAGCCUAUCAAACUCUGAAUGCCGAAUAAUCAUGCACGGGAGUCAGACUGUGUGAGAUAAGUUUCAUAGUCGAAAGGGAAACAGCCCAGACCUACAGCUAAGGUCCCAAAGUACGUUUAAGUGGAAAACGAUGUGAAAUUGCGUAGACAACCAGGAUGUUGGCUUAGAAGCAGCCAUACAUUAAAAGAGUGCGUAAUAGCUCACUGGUCGAGUGACUUUGCGCGGAAAAUUUAACGGGGCUAAAACGUACACCGAAGCUUAGGCUUGCAACUAUGUUGCAGGGGUAGGGGAGCGUUGAAUGAGGGGUGAAGUCGUAGCGAAAGCGACGGUGGACUUCAUUCAAGUGAGAAUGCCGGAAUGAGUAGCGAGAAUUAUGUGAGAAUCAUAAUGGCCGAAAGCCUAAGGUUUUUGGAGGAAGGUUCGUCCGCUCCAAGUAAGUCGGAAGCUAAGGUGAGGCUGAAAAGCGUAGCCGAUGCACAAACGGUUGAAAUUCCGUUACCACAGAAAGAUUUAAACUAAGGGACACUUUUGAAGAGCUGAUGCCGGGUGUUGGUUACCCCGGUCGUAAGGGAACGAAAUUAAGUAGUGAAGUCAGCGUGGAUGAAGGCGAGAAAAGCUUAGUGUAUAUCUUAUGUGUCCGUACCGCAAACCGACACAGGUAGGUAGGAAGAGAAUUCUAAGGCCAACGGGAGAAGGGUAGUUAAGGAACUCGGCAAAAUGUCCCCGUAACUUCGGAAUAAGGGGAGGUUUCUACGGAAACCCGCAGAGAAUAGUCCCAGGCAACUGUUUAUCAAAAACACAGCUCUAUGCUAAAUCGAAAGAUGACGUAUAUGGGGUGACGCCUGCCCGGUGCCGGAAGGUUAAGAGGAGGAGUGAGAGCCCUGAAUCGAAGCCCCGGUAAACGGCGGCCGUAACUAUAACGGUCCUAAGGUAGCGAAAUUCCUUGUCAGGUAAGUUCUGACCCGCACGAAUGG
rnacentral:rRNA from 1 species